CCUACGGGUGGCAGCAGUGAGGAAUAUUGGUCAAUGGGCGAGAGCCUGAACCAGCCAAGUCGCGUGAAGGAUGAAGGAUCUAUGGUUUGUAAACUUCUUUUAUAUGGGAAUAAAGUGAGGAACGUGUUCCUUUUUGUAUGUACCAUAUGAAUAAGCAUCGGCUAACUCCGUGCCAGCAGCCGCGGUAAUACGGGGGAUGCAAGCGUUAUCCGGAUUUAUUGGGUUUAAAGGGUGCGUAGGCUGUGAGGUAAGUCAGCGGUGAAAUGCCCCCGCUCAACGGGGUGAAGUGCCAUUGAUACUGCCUUGCUGGAAUGCGGAUGCCGUGGGAGGAAUGUGUGGUGUAGCGGUGAAAUGCAUAGAUAUCACACAGAACACCGAUUGCGAAGGCAUCUCACGAAUCCGCGAUUGACGCUGAUGCACGAAAGCGUGGGUAUCAAACAGGAUUAGAUACCCUAGUAGUC
rnacentral:rRNA from 1 species